rnacentral:rRNA from 1 species
AUUGAACGCUGGCGGCAGGCCUAACACAUGCAAGUCGAACGAGUGGCGGACGGGUGAGUAAUGUCUGGGAAACUGCCCGAUGGAGGGGGAUAACUACUGGAAACGGUAGCUAAUACCGCAUACCAUCGGAUGUGCCCAGAUGGGAGUAGCUUGUAGGUGAGGUAACGGCUCACCGAGGCGACGAUCCCUAGCUGGUCUGAGAGGAUGACCAGCCACACUGGAACUGGGACGCGGGCAAGACGCCUACGGGAGGCCGACGGGGGGAAUAUUGCAAAAUGGGCGCAAUCCUGAUGCAGCCAUGCCGGGUGUAUGAAGAAGGCCUUCGGGUUGUAAAGUACUUUCAGCGGGGAGGCGUUACCCGCAGAAGAAGCACCGGCUAACUCCGUGCCAGCAGCCGCGGUAAUUC